CCGGGCGUGGGCAGCGCUGGAGGACAGGCUCUCCCAGUGUGCUGCGGGGGAGGGCAGCCCCUGCAGUGUGCGUGUUGAGUGCUGGGAAACCCCCAAGUAACACUUCCCCCCUCAUUUAACACACUUCCUAAAACCUCUCCUCCCCAAAAGCCACUUUGCAAAAGCAGCGAUUACCACCAACCACGAGAAACACAGGAGCCUGCCUUCCACUGUUUACCACUGGGCAGGAAGUCGUUUAUGGACCAGUCUCUUGCCCAGGCUAAACUCAGAAGUGGACACUGAGGGCCGGUUGUGGGUGCCACCAGGCAAGCUAGGGCAUCGGAGUUCAGCAGAGCUGGGUGGGAAUUCUGCUUCUCCCUCCACUACCUGGGUAACCCUGGGCAAGUCACUUAGCCUCUCCGAGCAUAAACUGGUUUGCUUGUAAUAUGCAAAUAAUAAGGGGUGGGGGAAAUUUUUUUUUUUUUUUUUGAGACAGAGUCUCGCUCUGUCACCCAGGCUGGAGUGCAGUGGCGUGAUCUCGGCUCAUUGCAACCUCCGCCUCCUGGGUUCAAGCAAUUCUCCUGCCUCAGCCUCCUGAGUAGCUGGGAUUACAGGCGCCCGCCACCACUCCCAGCUAAUUUUUGUAUUUUUAGUAGGGACGAGGUUUCACCAUGUUGGUCAGGCUGGUCUCAAACUCCUGACCUCGUGAUCUGCCCUCCUUGGCCUUCCAAAGUGCUGGGAUUACAGGCGUGAUGGAGAUGAUACUCCCUAAAUCACAAGGGUGUGGUGUGAAGAUGAAAUGGCUGCACGUGACAGAGGAGUUGGAGAACAGGAAGCAAGUGGAUUACUUGGAUGAACUGUGAUGGGCCCAAGAAGAACUAAGCCAAUCACUCCAGGGGGCGUUUUCCCAGGAUCCAGGCAGAGAGCUGAUUCCAGCAUCCACGUUGUAUCCCCCUCCCGCUGUGGCCGGGGUCUCCAAGAGCCGGGCACCCACUGCAGAGCUUCCAAGCCCAGGCCCAUUUGAACACAGGAGGACUUUUGAGGUUCAUUUAACCCCAAAAUCAGUGAUUCUACAUCUCAAGCUCAUAUUUUGAAGUGUUUACGGACCAGGGAUUUGCCAAUUAUUCUGGAUGGGCACAGGGAAGGGGCCCUCAGAUCCUGCAGAGGGAGCAUCUGAAAGACAAUGAGACCCUGUACACAACCAAGCUGAGCCUCCUGUAAGCACAUCCUCUGGGUGUCACUAUGCGAAAAGACUCUUUGUCUGUUUACAUUGCACAACGAAUUGUCCCUCUGAUUGUCCUAGCGUUGGUGCAUGCAUGGAUCCAGGAAGAGCAGGUAUUUGGACCCAACGAGACAGGUUCAUCUUGGCAGUUUGUCUCCUGUGGUUGCUUUGUGCCUGCCCCGUAUCUAUCCACCCAACUUCUGGCAGCAAUCCCUCCAGGACCCACCUCUGUCUUCAUGGUUUGUGUGUUCUGAUCCUGCUCCUUGGCCCCAGAAUACACCCUCCACAUCUAAGCUAUGCAGUGCCUCAUCCCCACAGCUGCAGCGAUUGGUUUAGGAAUGGGAAAAUAAUCCAAUCAAAGUAAGAUUGUCUAAUAUCUGAUCCCGCUUACCCCGGAGCCAGAAGUCCCACCUUUCCAGGCUCCUCCAUGUUCCUUUCUGGAGCAAUGAGGAGGAAGGUUCAUUCCCUUCUCAGGGAACUUGCUGCGGUGUCCCAGUCCUGACUGUCCCCUCUCUACCCCUGCCUGUGGCUCUCCCGUCUCCUGGCAUUCUAACCUGCCACUGAAUUCUUCCCACGCCAAACGCAGGUUAGGAACCUAAGCUCGGAUGAAAUGCUGGCUUAGACCUCAUUGCUACUGAGAAGCAGAAACCACACUUUUUAGUUGGUAGAGGUGGAUGUGGAUUGGGGCCAUAAAGUUUCCUCAAUCAUUGAAUAAGGAUUUCAUUAUUUGGACUAACUAAAUACAUUAGAUUAUUUAUACUAACUAAAUAAAUUAGAUUUAUUUUUCGAAGUUUAAAAUCAUUUUCAAUAGUGACGAAAAAGGCUGUAGAUGAGAUGGGAGAAUCUUUCGACGCCAAAUUCUUCCCAUCUCCUGCCUAGUAUGUAUCACUACACCUUGCCCAGAGAGACUGUAGGGGUGCUCAGCAAAAACCAUGGCUGGUUGAUUCCCUGGAAAAAGGGGUGCUGUCCCAGGGAGCUCUGUGCCCUUCCUGCCAACACUGGGGUCUAGAGGAGGCAAGUUCCCCUCUGAAGGUGAGUAUGAUUCACUCAUUAAAACUAAGAAAUUUACAUUGGUAUGUUACUGUUAACUAACCUACAGACUUUUUUUAGAUUUCACCGUUCUUUACACUCUCGUCCUUUCCAAUUUCCGGGAUCCAAUGCAGGAUACCAGGUUGCAUUUUUGGAUGUGUCCAGUCUGUGAUCAUUUCUCAAUCUUUCCUCAUUUUCUCAUGACUUUUGACAUUUAUUUAUUUAUUUAUUGUGUGAGACUGAGUCUCACUCUGUUGCCUAGGCUGGAGUGCAGUGGCCCCAUCCUGGCUCACUACAAUCUCCACCUCCCGGGUUCAAAUGAUUCUCCUGCCUCAGCCUCCCAAGCAGCUGGGAUUACAGGCGCACACCACCACGCCUGGCUAAUUUGUAUUUUUAGUAGAGAUGGGGUUUCACCAUGUUAGCCAGGCUGGUCUCAAACUCCUGACUUCAGGUGAUCUGCCUGCCUCGGCCUCCCAAAGUGCUAGGAUUACAGGCGCAGGCCACCACGCCCAGCCUGACUUCUGACAUUAGAGUACAGGGAGGGAUUCUGUAGAAUGUCCCUCAAUUUGGGUGUGUCUGGUGUUUUGCCAUGAGACUGGGGUUAUGCUUCUGGGUGCCACACAGAGGUGAAAUGUCCUUCUCAUCACAUUAUUCGAGAGGUACAUGGUACCAAUGGGACUUAUCGCUGCUGAUGUUAACCUUGAUCUCUUGGUUCAGGUGGUGCCUGCCAGCUGUCUCCACUGUGGAGUUACUAUUUUUCCUUUUCCCCAUUUUAUUCAUCAGAAGCCAGUCACUAAGCGAGGUCAAACUCCAGGACAGGGGAAUUAAGUGCCACCUUCUGGAGAGGGAGCAUUCACAUUUAUUACUUGGGAUCCUUCUGUAAGGAAGAGCUGUUUCUCCUCUAAAAAACUCUUUAAUCCUUUUAAGCCUCAAUUUCUUAAUUGUGAAAUGGGGCUAAUACCUGUAUCCAACCAAGGGAGUAGUUAGAAGGUAACAUGAUAGGUGGAAAGCACUUAACAUAGGCAAAAUGUUAUUAUCAGGAAUGAUCGAGAGACCCAUCCAACUAUCUGAAGGAGUCACUUAACUCUACUGUACUGCAGCGCUGUAAAGUCUGCAUCUUUCACUGGGGGUAAAGGCCCCCAGUCCCUGAGACGGGCCAGUUUGGAGACAGGCUGGUUUUUUCUCUGUUCUCCUGAGAGCCCUUCAGAUGAGAAGGGAGGUCUGGAGACAGAAUGCCAAAAGCCCAUUAAAGGCACGGCCUUGCAUUUCAGAGAGGGAGCAGGUCUAGAGAAGAACCAGAGGAGCUCAGCUGAGAUAUGGUGUAUGGAUUGGAUUUUGGUAGAAGAUGGGAAGAACCAAACACCUGAGAAACCACUUUGAAGAUCGGGGUCAGAGUAAGGCCUAACACAUAGUUGGCUCCCAGUAAUUAUUGGUUGAUUGAACAGCUCAAAGAGCAACUCGACCAAGAACACUGGACUGGGAGUCCAGUUACUUGGAUCUUGCAUUCCUGAUUUAUUUUUAUUUUAUAUGUAUUUUUUCUAUUUUUUUGAGACGAAGUCUCACUCACUCUGUCGCCCAGGCUGGACUACAAUGGCACGAUCUCGGCUCACUGCAAACUCUGCCUCCCAGGUUCAAGCGAUUCUCCUGCCUCAGCCUCUCGAGUAGCUAGGAUUACAGGCAUGCACCACCACGCUGGCUAAUUUUUGUAUUUUUAGUAGAGACGGGGUUUUGCCAUGUUGGCCAUGCUGGUGUCCACCUCCUGACCUCAGUUGAUCUUCCUGCCUCAGCCUUCCAAAAUGUUGGGAUUACAGGCGUGAGCCACCGUGCCUGGCCGUGAUUUAUUUUUUUUGUGUAUGUUUGUUUUUGUCAACUUGCUGUGUGACCUUAAGCAAGUUACUUAACUUCUCUGGGCUUCACUUUCCAUGGAUGAACAUUGUAAAGAGGCUGGAGAGAGAUGAGGACUAGGUACAGGCUUUAGAGGAGAGCCACCGCCCCGGACUUCUCCCUCUGUCACCCCGCUUUCCAUGACCCUCCUUGCCUGACUUUGUGACUCCUUGCCUCGCUAUCAAAACAAGUGCUGCAAUCUCAGUGCUUUCCAAGAGCCCUGCAUUGUUAGAAACUUCCCAGCACGCAGCAAAGGCUGCUGCAAUACUCGCUCUGCCUGCCUUUGCCCUGCGCUUCCUACUUACCCUCCUUUUGUUUCUCCCAAACAUCUGUCCCUGACUAUGCUCAUCUCAUGUUUGUCCUCAGCUGCUGAAAGGGCCACGUUUGUUUUCAUUACAAAUAAGACCACCGAGUGGGCUCCUGGCGUGGGGGCGGGACCAGCCGCGCGCAGUCUUCAGAGGCAGCCCCCCAGGCUGUCUCUGGAGGGUGUGUCUCUGCUUCCCUUUCCCCGUGUUUAUUUUCAGACGAAGCCAAGUGGCCCGGGGGGACCCUCCGGACUCCCAGCCUUCAGAGAGGAGGGCAGCUCGGGCUUUCGCCGCAGUGCUUCCUGCCCGUCACGUGUGUGCUCCUAGCCGGGGUCGGGGGAGCUGGUAUCUUGGCCCUUCUGGGAGGACGCGCACAGCCCGAGGAGGCAGAGCCCCAGACGGGAAUGGGCUUUUCAGAGGUGGGGUGCGGGCGAGGGGACGAUGCAUUAUUUUUAAUAUUUGAUUUAUUUUUCCAACUGGACUUCUUCCCGGGGCUCUUUCUGGGCCCAGCUGCCUUUGUGAUCCCGCGCCCCGGUCCUCGGCCUCUCACCUCCAGCGCCGGGGCGCCCCCUGCUGUCGGAAGCGGCUGUGACCGGGCAGAGGUGCUAUCUGGGACUCUGGGUUCUCAGCCCGGGGACAGCGAACCGAGGGGCAGAUGAUCCAUCAGAAAAGAGCCGGCACUGCCCAGCCCCGCGCCCCUGCCCCUGCCUUUUUCCGGGAGCGCGCCGCGCCGCACCCGCUACGGCCGCUUGACCCCAUCUUUGAGCCCGGCCCCAAGCUCUGGGACCGUCGUGCCCCUCAUCAAGGAAGAGCCAAGGACCCCAAGGAGAAGGUCAGGAGCGGCGGUGUGGAUGUCCCUUGGCUGCAGGCCCCGCCGCGCACUCCCUUCAGUCCUUCCCUUCUCUAGGGACCAGGUAGCAUCAGUGCCUGGAUCUCGGCCUUGUGUGCCCUGCUCCCUGCCCCACCUACUAAGAACCAAGUCUGGUUCACCGGCUCCCAAGAGCUGGAACCCAUUCUCAGCUAGCUGGGGGCCCAGGCCACCCCUUCCCUCCAGACCUGUGUGCCUUCUGCCCUGGCUCCAGGGCCCCCCACACCGUGACCAGGGCGGGAUCCCUAUGGGGCUGGCCAGGCGGCACCGUGCCAGGCCCACAGUGCCCUGGGCGUCCAUGGAAGUCGUUCUGUGUCUUUAAAAUCAGAAGGAAGACAUUAACCUUUAGGCUGAAGAAAAUGUUUUAGUACACAGCAAUAACUUAUUUGUCUUUAUCCAACAGCCAUAAAAUAUAACUUUAAAUAUUCUAUUGAUAGAGAAAGGAGUUCAUGAAGGCAGAAAUGCCUGGGGCCCACGAACAUCCCAGUGUGGCCCUGGACGGGACAUCAUGCUGGGCAACACAGCUAAAAUGCGGGUGAAGACCAGAUUUCUUGCACAUGGCGGUGACGGGAUGCUCCCUAGAGAGCUUCAAGUGGAUUCUUUGCUUUUUAUUUUCUCUCUUAAUAAAAAUGUAUGAUGUUUACAUUGUCAGAGAACAAACAGAA
rnacentral:lncRNA from 1 species